CGGACCCCACUGCGCCCAAACCGAAGUCAUGUAAGUCCCGCCCCGCGCUGCCUCUGCCACCGCCGGGGUCCCAGACCCUCCUGCUGCCCCAACCCUGUCCCCAGCCCGACCUCCUGCCUCACGAGAUUCCCUUCCCUCUGCAGAGCCACACUCAAGAAUGGGCGGAAAGCUUGCCUCAAUCCUGCAUCCCCCAUAGUUAAGAAAAUCAUCGAAAAGAUGCUGAACAGUGACAAAUCCAACUGACCAGAAGGGAGGAGGAAGCUCACUGGUGGCUGUUCCUGAAGGAGGCCCUGCCCUUAUAGGAACAGAAGAGGAAAGAGAGACACAGCUGCAGAGGCCACCUGGAUUGUGCCUAAUGUGUUUGAGCAUCGCUUAGGAGAAGUCUUCUAUUUAUUUAUUUAUUCAUUAGUUUUGAAGAUUCUAUGUUAAUAUUUUAGGUGUAAAAUAAUUAAGGGUAUGAUUAACUCUACCUGCACACUGUCCUAUUAUAUUCAUUCUUUUUGAAAUGUCAACCCCAAGUUAGUUCAAUCUGGAUUCAUAUUUAAUUUGAAGGUAGAAUGUUUUCAAAUGUUCUCCAGUCAUUAUGUUAAUAUUUCUGAGGAGCCUGCAACAUGCCAGCCACUGUGAUAGAGGCUGGCGGAUCCAAGCAAAUGGCCAAUGAGAUCAUUGUGAAGGCAGGGGAAUGUAUGUGCACAUCUGUUUUGUAACUGUUUAGAUGAAUGUCAGUUGUUAUUUAUUGAAAUGAUUUCACAGUGUGUGGUCAACAUUUCUCAUGUUGAAACUUUAAGAACUAAAAUGUUCUAAAUAUCCCUUGGACAUUUU
rnacentral:lncRNA from 1 species